rnacentral:rRNA from 1 species
UGGGGAAUAUUGGACAAUGGGCGAAAGCCUGAUCCAGCCAUGCCGCGUGUGUGAAGAAGGUCUUCGGAUUGUAAAGCACUUUAAGUUGGGAGGAAGGGCAGUAAGCGAAUACCUUACUGUUUUGACGUUACCGACAGAAUAAGCACCGGCUAACUCUGUGCCAGCAGCCGCGGUAAUACAGAGGGUGCAAGCGUUAAUCGGAAUUACUGGGCGUAAAGCGCGCGUAGGUGGUUCGUUAAGUUGAAUGUGAAAGCCCCGGGCUCAACCUGGGAACUGCAUCCAAAACUGGCGAGCUAGAGUAGGGCAGAGGGUGGUGGAAUUUCCUGUGUAGCGGUGAAAUGCGUAGAUAUAGGAAGGAACACCAGUGGCGAAGGCGACCACCUGGGCUCACACUGACACUGAGGUGCGAAAGCGUGGGGAGCAAACAGG